rnacentral:rRNA from 1 species
GGGGUGCUCGAGUGGCGAACGGGUGAGUAACACGUGAGUAACCUGCCCUUGACUUUGGGAUAACUUCAGGAAACUGGGGCUAAUACCGGAUAGGAGCUCCUGCUGCAUGGUGGGGGUUGGAAAGUUUCGGCGGUUGGGGAUGGACUCGCGGCUUACCAGCUUGUCGGUGGGGUAGUGGCUUACCAAGGCUUUGACGGGUAGCCGGCCUGAGAGGGUGACCGGCCACAUUGGGACUGAGAUACGGCCCAG